GUGGCGGUGGCGCACAACGGCGGCGGCGCGCUGCUGCUGCUGGUCCUGGUGCUGGUGAACUACCGGGUACGCGCCGUUUCAACCAGCGCCGCCAGAC
rnacentral:tRNA from 1 species